rnacentral:misc_RNA from 1 species
UCCGAGUUGACCCCGGCAGUCUUCGAUGAGUCCCCGGCAUAACCCGCUGGCAACAUCGAACGAGGGUUGCGCUCGUUGCGGGACUUAACCCAACAUCUCACGACACGAGCUGACGACAGCCAUGCAGCACCUCGACCGGACCUCCUUGCGGAGUAGCAGUAUUUCUACCGCCGUUAACCGGCCGUUCGAGCCCAGGUAAGGUUCUUCGCGUUGCGUCGAAUUGAACCACAUGCUCCACCGCUUGUGCGGGCCCCCGUCAAUUCCUUUGAGUUUCAGCCUUGCGACUGUACUCCCCAGGCGGCAUAUUUAACGCGUUAGCUCCGGCACGGACAGAAUGAACUGCCCACACCAAAUAUGCAUCGUUUAGGGCGUGGACUAC